AAACCAACAGGGAUUGCCCCAGUAACGGCGAGUGAAGCGGCAACAGCUCAAAUUUGAAAUCUGGCUUCGGCCCGAGUUGUAAUUUGUAGAGGAUGCUUUUGGUGAGGUGCCUUCUGAGUUCCCUGGAACGGGACGCCAGAGAGGGUGAGAGCCCCGUAUAGUCGGCCACCGAUCCUUUGUAAAGCUCCUUCGACGAGUCGAGUAGUUUGGGAAUGCUGCUCAAAAUGGGAGGUAUAUCUCUUCUAAAGCUAAAUAUUGGCCAGAGACCGAUAGCGCACAAGUAGAGUGAUCGAAAGAUGAAAAGCACUUUGAAAAGAGGGUUAAAUAGCACGUGAAAUUGUUGAAAGGGAAGCGCUUGUGACCAGACUUGUGCCGGGCUGAUCAUCCAGUGUUCUCACUGGUGCACUCGACCCGGCUCAGGCCAGCGUCGGUUCUCGCGGGGGGAUAAAAGCUUCGGGAACGUGGCACCUCCGGGUGUGUUAUAGCCCGUUGCUUAAUACCUUCGCGGGGACCUAGGUUCGCGCUCUGCAAGGACGCUGGCAUAAUGGUCAUCAGCGAC
rnacentral:rRNA from 1 species